UUCUAACAUAGUACAAACAGAAGAUAAACUGAAUAACAUAAAAAGAUCAAUACAGAUUCCACUUUAUGAAGGAAGUAGAUAGAAGUUGAUGAGGAGAAACCGUCAUCUCACGCUUCAAACAACCUGAAACCAACUUACAUCAACAAAAGGUGUAGCAAGAAUAGUAUCAAUACACCACGCGUACUGAGUAGAUAUCAUAGGUCAACUUGAAUGAGUGACCAGUAAUGCGACUUGUAGAAGACUCCCUCCCUAUACCUAGCGGAGUUGGCACUAAUAAGGAGAGCAGAAAGCAGCUACCGGCCAUCAAAAGAUCCACGACUUUAAGAUCCGCAUGCAAGGGAAGAUCCGCUUAUUCUUUGAGAUGACAAAGCUCCCCACUAGACGCAAAUUCCGAAGCUUUAGUUUCGUUACCGGCCAGAGCUCCUAGCCCUUUUGAUUCUGUUUUAUCUCAGUUAAACUCCACACCUCCAGGAAAUCCGCGAAUUCGAGUCACGGGAAUAGACCCACCACUGAUUCAUUCAAUUCCAGCUGCUGAUUCAACAAGUUCGGAUGGUAGGGUAGGGUCAGGCUUGGACGAAUGAGUUCUAAGUAAAACAUCACAAAAUCAAAAUCAAUAGAAACAACAAUUUACAUAUGCAGAUAACUAUAUUACAUCUACAUUCCACUUAAACACACAUUACUCUCAAUCCACACUACUCAAUCUCAUGUCUUAUUAAUAGUUACCUUAUAACUAUAUUACAUCUACAUUCCACUUAAACACACAU
rnacentral:lncRNA from 1 species